rnacentral:tRNA from 1 species
GCGGGCGUGGCGAAACUGGCAGACGCUCAGGUUUCAGAAUCCUGUGGUAUUCCGUGCAAGUUCAAAUCUUGUCGCCUGCACCA